GAUGAACGCUGGCGGCGUGCCUAAUACAUGCAAGUCGAGCGAACAGAUGAGAAGCUUGCUUCUCUGAUGCUAGCGGCGGACGGGUGAGUAACACGUGGGUAACCUACCUAUAAGACUGGGAUAACUCCGGGAAACCGGGGCUAAUACAGGAUAAUAUUUUGAACCGCAUGGUUCAAUAGUGAAAGACGGUUUCGGCUGUCACUUAUAGAUGGACCCGCGCCGUAUUAGCUCGUGGGUAAGGUAACGGCUUACCAAGGCGACGAUACGAAGGCGACCUGGGAGGGUGAUCGGCCACACUGGAACUGAGACACGGACCAGACUCCUACGGGAGGCAGCAGUAGGGAAUCUUCCGCAAUGGGCGAAAGCCUGACGGAGCAACGCCGCGUGAGCGAUGAAGGUCUUCGGAUCGUAAAACUCUGUUGUUAGGGAAGAACAAAUUUGUUAGUAACUGAACAAGUCUUGACGGUACCUAACCAGAAAGCCACGGCUAACUACGUGCCAGCCGCCGCGGUAA
rnacentral:rRNA from 1 species